UGGGGGUAGCCAAGUGGUAAAGCAACGGGUUUUGGUCCCGCAACCCCGAUUCGAAUCCCUUCCGCCCAG